ACGCACGCUGGCGGCAGGCUUAACACAUGCAAGUCGAGCGCAUCCUUCGGGGUGAGCGGCGGACGGGUGAGUAACGCGUGGGAACGUGCCCUCUUCUACGGAAUAGCCUCGGGAAACUGAGAGUAAUGCCGUAUACGCCCGCAAGGGGAAAGAUUUAUCGGAGGAGGAUCGGCCCGCGUUGGAUUAGGUAGUUGGUGGGGUAACGGCCUACCAAGCCGACGAUCCAUAGCUGGUUUGAGAGGAUGAUCAGCCACACUGGGACUGAGACACGGCCCAGACUCCUACGGGAGGCAGCAGUGGGGAAUCUUGGACAAUGGGGGCAACCCUGAUCCAGCCAUGCCGCGUGAUCGAUGAAGGCCUUAGGGUUGUAAAGAUCUUUCAGCUGGGAAGAUAAUGACGGUACCAGCAGAAGAAGCCCCGGCUAACUCCGUG
rnacentral:rRNA from 1 species